rnacentral:lncRNA from 13 species
CUGCGUGGGCGAGCGUCCCUGCGUGAGCAACCCUUCGUGAGCCUCCGUGCAGGAGCGUCACUUCGUGAGCCUCCGUGCGGGAGCGUCCCUUCGUGUCUAUUGAUUAAUUAUUACGCCUUUCAAGCAUGAAUUAACACCUUAUGAUUAUUAUGCCAGCCCAGAAUAUUCAAUAUAAGCUCAGUUUCUACAGCCAAUUUGGUAGGAAUCAAAUCUGAGUUCGCCUCCAGCAGAUUCGGAGGGCACCAGGCCUUCCGCAAUGGCAAUAUCAUACUGAAUGGGCAAAAACUGGAAGCAUUCACUUUGAAAACUGGCACAAGAAAGACAAGGAUGUCCUCUCUCACCACUCCGAUUCAACAUAGUAUUGGAAGUUCUGGCCAGGGCAAUCAGCAGGGUGAAGAAAAGACAAUAAGGAUAUUGGUAAAUAGAUGGGCCAGAUUAUUUCAGUUAGCUACAAAUUCUACCAGGAAAUGGAAAAGGAUUUGUAGAAUGCAGAGGAGUGGGUAAGAGUGGAU